AGCAUUGAAUUACUGUACAAAUCUCGGGUUGCUAUGUAAAUUGCGGGUUGCUAAUGAAAAAUCGCGCGGAAGAUUCAUUACUCCGCGCGAUUUUCAAUAGCAUUGAAUUACUGCACGAAAUUCGGGUUGCUAUGUGGUUACGCGAUAAAAUUUGAUUGGUUCCGACACCUAGAAAGAACCUAUCAAAACUCGCGUCUUAUCCAGCAUUCAUGCAGUCAUCAUGAUGACUGUUUCACAUUAACACAAAAAAUUUUAAGGGCGAAAGCGUGAUCAAUUUUGAUGACAUUAGCAAUGAGCUGUAGCAGUGUUCCCAACUUGAACAUCAUCUUCUGUGUACAUAUCUGAGGCAGAGCCAGCUUGCCCAUCUGACCUCUGUUGUGGACAACCGAGUAAGAGCCAGCUUGCAUGUCAUCUGUUGUGGACAUCCGUGUUAGAGCCAGCUUGCACGUCCUCUAUUGUGGACAUCAGUGUUAGUGCUAGCUUUCAUGUCAUCUGUUGUGAACAUCCGUGUAAGAGCCAGCUUGCACGUCAUCUCUUUUGGACAUCAGUGUUAGAGCCAGCUUACACAUCCUCUGUUGUGGACAUCCGUGUAAGUGCUAGCUUGCACGUAAUCUGUUGUGGACAUCUGUGUUAGAGCCAGCUUGCACGUCAUAUGUUUAGGACAUCAGUCAGAGAUAGCUUGCAUGUUAUAUACUUGUGGACAUUAGUCAGAGCCAGCAAGGACAAUCUCUGUUGUGGAUAUCUGUCUUAGAGCUUGCACGUCAUCGGUUGUUCACAUCCUUGUAAUAACCAGCUUGCACAUCAACUGAUGUGGAAAUCUGAGUCAGAGCCAGCUUGCACAUCAUCCGUUGUGGACAUCUCUUUAUGAUUCUACUCUUUGCUUAGAUUGACACUGUGACUUUAGUGUAAUAUGUUACAACCUUAAGCUAUUCCUAUUGUUGAAUAAAAAUAUUGUGUCAUUAAAAUAUAUUUUGUUGGAUAAUUUGUAUGUUGAGUUGUAUUGUUUGGUCAUUGCAAAGUAUCAAGUUAUUUUAAGACAAGAAAAAGCUCAUCUUUCAUCAUGUAUUUAUAUUAAAAUUCUUGAAUGUUAGUGAAGGUACAGUUCAUAUAAUUAAAAGCAAUUUUAAUAUGAUUGCUUGUGUUUUAUUGCACAGUGAAUACCAUCUUGUCUUUAUGCUGACAUAUAGAACGGAAAAAUAGUAAACUGUCGUUUUUAUAUGCAAUGGGAUUGUAUAUGAAGACUUGCAUGUUCAGAUGAAAAAAUUGCCAUAAUUUUUCUCUUUAUAUUUUAUUCCUGCUAAAUGGUUGAUGCAAUAAAGUUAAGUCUUUAA